rnacentral:rRNA from 1 species
GACGAACGCUGGCGGCGUGCUUAACACAUGCAAGUCGAACGGAAAGGCCCUGCUUUUGUGGGGUGCUCGAGUGGCGAACGGGUGAGUAACACGUGAGUAACCUGCCCUUGACUUUGGGAUAACUUCAGGAAACUGGGGCUAAUACCGGAUAGGAGCUCCUGCUGCUUGGUGGGGUUUGGAAAGUUUCGGCGGUUGGGGAUGGACUCGCGGCUUAUCAGCUUGUUGGUGGGGUAGUGGCUUACCAAGGCUUUGACGGGUAGCCGGCCUGAGAGGGUGACCGGCCACAUUGGGACUGAGAUACGGCCCAGACUCCUACGGGAGGCAGCAGUGGGGAAUAUUGCACAAUGGGCGGAAGCCUGAUGCAGCAACGCCGCGUGCGGGAUGACGGCCUUCGGGUUGUAAACCGCUUUCGCCUGUGACGAAGCGUGAGUGACGGUAAUGGGUAAAGAAGCACCGGCUAACUACGUG